AUUCAGCGGUUAGCCACGGCGGAUGUCGGAUGGAAUGUUGGACGGAUCGUUUCGGAACAAAGUAAUCAAUCGCGUAGAUCAGUACAUUGGAGAAGACCUGUACAGCAGCGUUAACUUCAUCAUUGUCGAGAAUGUCAUCCCAAUCGAUACUCAUUAGGAAAGCAGUCGUGCUAUUAUAGCCGGCUCUAUUAAAAUUAUAGCUGAUGAUGCUGGAAGGGACGCUGUCAUGAGAUGUUUCAAUUCAGCGGUUAGCCACGGCGGAUGUCGGAUGGAAUGUUGGACGGAUCGUUUCGGAACAAAGUAAUCAAUCGCGUAGAUCAGUACAUUGGAGAAGACCUGUACAGCAGCGUUAACUUCAUCAUUGUCGAGAAUGUCAUCCCAAUCGAUACUCAUUAGGAAAGCAGUCGUGCUAUUAUAGCCGGCUCUAUUAAAAUUAUAGCUGAUGAUGCUGGAAGGGACGCUGUCAUGAGAUGUUUCAAUUCAGCGGUUAGCCACGGCGGAUGUCGGAUGGAAUGUUGGACGGAUCGUUUCGGAACAAAGUAAUCAAUCGCGUAGAUCAGUACAUUGGAGAAGGCCUGUACAGCAGCGUUAACUUCAUCACACAGUUCCA